GGGCUUGUAGCUCAGUUGGUUAGAGCAGGGGACUCAUAAUCCCUUGGUCGUAGGUUCGAUUCCUACCGGGCCCA
rnacentral:tRNA from 1 species